rnacentral:rRNA from 1 species
AACGUAGGAGACAAACGUUAUCCGGAGUUACUGGGCGUAAAGGGCGUGUAGGCGGUUUGUUAAGUCUGGCGUGAAAGCUCUCGGCUAAACCGGGAGAGGUCGUUGGAUACUGGCAAACUAGAGGACGGUAGAGGCGUGUGGAAUUCCGGGUGUAGUGGUGAAAUGCGUAGAGAUCCGGAGGAACACCGGUGGCGAAGGCGGGUCUCUGGGCCGAUACUGACGCUGAGGAGCGAAAGCGUGGGGAGCGAACAGG